UGUAUACAACAGCCACAUUGUCUGCAG
rnacentral:piRNA from 1 species